GUGAAUCAUCGAAUUUUUGAACGCAAAUUGCGCUUCCUAGUAUCCCGGGAAGUAUGCCUGUUUGAGGGUCAGUAUUAACACUAAAAUAGGUUUGGUUGCAAAUUGUGAUGUUUCUGGAGUUUGGGCUUUGUUAACUUUUUUGGUUAAGGGGCUUAAAAUUGACCUUUUUUGCGCUUUUUUAGUGGUACAUAUAUUUUUUUUUUUUUUUCGUGUAGUCUUAAUGCAAAUAUCUUAUUAGAUGCGAUUAAAUCGUGUGGUUUCGUGUCCAUAAAAUUUUCAUGAUUUGUCUUCAA
rnacentral:misc_RNA from 1 species